rnacentral:rRNA from 1 species
CCUUGACAUACUAAGAACUUUCCAGAGAUGGAUUGGUGCCUUCGGGAACUUAGAUACAGGUGCUGCAUGGCUGUCGUCAGCUCGUGUCGUGAGAUGUUGGGUUAAGUCCCGCAACGAGCGCAACCCUUUUCCUUAUUUGCCAGCGGGUCAUGCCGGGAACUUUUAAGGAUACUGCCAGUGACAAACUGGAGGAAGGCGGGGACGACGUCAAGUCAUCAUGGCCCUUACGGCCAGGGCUACACACGUGCUACAAUGGUCGGUACAAAGGGUUGCUACCUCGCGAGAGGAUGCUAAUCUCAAAAAGCCGAUCGUAGUCCGGAUCGCAGUCUGCAACUCGACUGCGUGAAGUCGGAAUCGCUAGUAAUCGCGGAUCAGAAUGCCGCGGUGAAUACGUUCCCGGGCCUUGUACACACCGCCCGUCACACCAUGGGAGUUUGUUGCACCAGAAGUAGGUAGUCUAACCGCAAGGAGGACGCUUACCACGGUGUGGCCGAUGACUGGGGUGAAGUCGUAACAAGGUAAGCGUAGAUGA